UACGGAGGGGGCUAGCGUUGUUCGGAAUUACUGGGCGUAAAGCGCACGUAGGCGGCUUUGUAAGUUAGAGGUGAAAGCCCGGGGCUCAACUCCGGAAUUGCCUUUAAGACUGCAUCGCUAGGAUUGUGGAGAGGUAAGUGGAAUUCCGAGUGUAGAGGUGAAAUUCGUAGAUAUUCGGAAGAACACCAGUGGCGAAGGCGACUCACUGGCCCGAUACUGACGCUGAGGCGCGAAAGCGUGGGGAGCAAACAGG
rnacentral:rRNA from 1 species